rnacentral:rRNA from 2 species
UCAAACAAGUUCAUCUUGUUCUGAUCCUGUGCACCUUAUGUAGUCCCAAAGCCUUCACGGGCGGCGGUUGACUACGUCUACCUCACACCUUAAAGUAUGUUAACGAAUGUAAUCAUGGUCUUGACAGACUCUAAAAAGUUAAUACAACUUUCGACAACGGAUCUCUUGGCUCUCGCAUCGAUGAAGAACGCAGCGAAAUGCGAUAAGUAAUGUGAAUUGCAGAAUUCAGUGAAUCAUCGAAUCUUUGAACGCACCUUGCGCCCUUUGGUAUUCCGAGGGGCAUGCCUGUUUGAGUGUCAUUAAAUACCAUCAACCCUCUUUUGACUUCGGUCUCGAGAGUGGCUUGGAAGUGGAGGUCUGCUGGAGCCUAACGGAGCCAGCUCCUCUUAAAUGUAUUAGCGGAUUUCCCUUGCGGGAUCGCGUCUCCGAUGUGAUAAUUUCUACGUCGUUGACCAUCUCGGGGCUGACCUAGUCAGUUUCAAUAGGAGUCUGCUUCUAACCGUCUCUUGACUGAGACUAGCGACUUGUGCGCUAACUUUUGACUUGACCUCAAAUCAGGUAGGACUACCCGCUGAACUUAAGCAUAUCAAUAAGCGGAGGAAAAGGAACUAACAAGGAUUCCCCUAGUAACUGCGAGUGAAGCGGGAAAAGCUCAAAUUUAAAAUCUGGCGGUCUCCGGCCGUCCGAGUUGUAAUUUAGAGAAGCGUUAUCCGUGCUGGACCGU